rnacentral:lncRNA from 1 species
UAAUUCUAACAUAUAUAUAGUAUUAAUCUAAUUUUGAUUAUCAGGGAAGUCAAUCCCUUCACCUUACAUCAUUGAUAACUUUCACUAAAGAAUGAACAUGACUGUCUUCUCUACUCCUAAAAGAAUUUUGUUGUCCACUGACUAGGAGUAAUCAGAGGCAAAAAUUCAUUCAUAUAUUUCAGAGUUACAGCAACCUACAAACAGAAGUUCACAUGUUUGUAUAUACUUUUACAAAUAUCAUACCUUGGUUCUCUGAGGACUAGGUUCCCUGUUGACAAGCCUCUGAUAUUAAAUAAAAUGUUGAACACUUAUAGCAUGCUAAUUAGUAGCUCCACUUCUCUGAAGCUACUGAAUUAGAUGUGUUUAUAAUUGGAUUGGCUGCUUGUUUCUCUAGGAAUAUUUGAGUGACACACACACCUCUGAUGUGACUUCUGUAUGGGUUGAAAAUUGAUUAAGGCCGUUCAUUUUUCCAAUUUGUGAAGAUAUAGGUAAAUUUGACAUGUUUGCAUGUCUACUACAUAGGCUUAUAUAUAAAUGUUUGAAAAAAAUACCUUUAAGUGAUGCAAAUGAACAGUUAGGCAAAGGUGUUAUGUAAUCAUCUUUUCAUAUUUCAGGAAAAUUCCCUUUUUCAUAUAGAAUGUUUUCCUGAAAUAUGAUAGGAUCAUUAAAUAACUUAUGUAAGGUGAUAAUAUGUUUUCUCUUUGUUUUUGUAAAUUAACAUCACUUUAGAUAUUUAGCCCAACUCUUUAUCUACAUUGCUCAAAGGGUUUUUUUUCCAAACAUACAAUUUGGCCACAUUGCAAUGCUUCAAAUAAAUUACAAUACUCUUUGGCACACACACACACACACACACACUUGGAUGUACAACUAAGAGAAAGAGUAUUCAACAGAUACAUUAGAAUUCAUUUGAAAUUUAUCAGUCACUCCAUUGCUAUUCAGAUAAUUUAUUUCUUGCUUGAAGGAUUUACACUUGCAUGCACAUGCAUACACAUAAAGGAGAGAUGACGGUCUUUAUUUUUUUAAAGUUUUGGGGUUAUUGCAAUAAGUAAUUACUUGUCAUGAAAUCACAUUUGCUAAUGCAUAGUUAAAAUGUUUGGUGAUGAUAAAGCCAUGUUGGUAAUUUAAUCUGAAGUAUUAUUUGUUGAAGAUAUAUCAUGUUUUUUUUUUUGAAGAAGAAAUAAAAAAAAAUAUUUUGAAAUAUUUUUUGACACAGCAUAAAGACAAUUAUUUGAGAUUAAUGAUGUUAAGUGAAUGAACAAUUAAUUACUGGUUCUAAUUUAUUUUCAUUGAACUCCUCCAGUGAAGUUUUGAAUGCUGGACAUUGGGGUUUCAAACUAAGUAUAGUAAAACCUCCAGUUGAAUAUUCUACCAUCGCAAUAAAUCUUUUUUUUUUUUGUUUUCAUAGUUAACGAAUAAUGUUAAGUAAUUUUCUUAUAUUAGAAAGAGCUGUCCAUGUUAGGCCAGCAAAUUUAGUUUUUUUCUAAUCAGAUUUAUCUGUUGGGAAAGCUGCUAAGUUUCUUUUUCACUAAUUAUCUAUUUUGUGGUGUGUGUUUUUAUCUUUUAGUCGGCUGGGAAGGCAGUGCCUGUAACCCUUUACAUAGUCUCCAAGACUGGUGGAAGAAGGGGAGGAAAGUAUUCUCAUAGGGAUACUGGCCCAAAUGCUUGCAACAGAGUGGACUCUGUUAAAAAUAUCCCAAAGUAUCACAUGGUGGUGUUAAUCCAGGUAACAGAUUAAGUCUGUUACUCAGAUAGGCCAUGGCAGGAUUUGAACUCAAUGUAAUGAGCUGGAAGAAAUAUUGCAAGGUAUCCAGUCUGACUUUCUUACAGUUCUCCCUACUCACCUCCUUGGAUUUGUACUUGUUUUUCCAUUGAUUCAGAAAGGAAUGAAAGGCUAAUUUAAACUCAGUGUGAAGAGAGUUGGAACAAAUACCACUAGGUAUUUUAUUUGAUUCUCCAACUACUCUGCCAGUUUGCUUCUAUUUAUUCAUGUUAUUUUUUUUGCUAACGAUAUAAGUUAGAUAGUUUUGUAAAAACCUGUUUGUCAGUAUGGAAUCAUGAAGCUGACAAUUUAGUUCACUGGAUGAGGAAAGUUGAAUAAUUGGAUUUGCAGGUGUUGAUUUGAUUUUUUUGAUUCUCAAGUCCAUCAUUAAAAAAAGUUUUAAAAAAACAACAAAAAAAAUUGUCAUUCACUACACACUAAGUUCCACUAAAAACUGAACUGGUAUCUUAUCUCUUCAGACACUUUUAAUCAUGCCUUUGUGAAAUCAAAAAUUUCUAAAUUUCUUCCUACGCAUUUGAAAAGUAAGAAAUGAGAAAUUUUAUCAAGAAUUAUAUAAUCACGUUAACUGCAAAUUUCUAUGAACCAAAAAGCAUGGCAAACGCAUCAUGGAAACAUAUUCAUAAUAUAAAUUCACAAACUACAACACUGUCAUUUCUUACAUAACUUUAAUUAGAUAAUUUAUUUUAUAUUACAUUGUCUCAUUCACUAAAUUGAUAGAUUGCUUUUUUUUAACAAACUAUAAAACAAACAUUUUGUCUUUUCCUGAAAGCAAAAAUUUUUAUGAUCUCAUAAAAAAGAUUGAUUUAAAUUUGAUAAAGGAAAAUUGGAAUGAAUUCUUUUUGUUUUUUCUUCGUCUAUGCUGCCAAAAGAGGAGGAAGAAGAUCCAAGAAUGAAGCAUUAGAUGUAAAAUAAUUGUUCAUUUUUGCUUCUCAUUAAGAUUUGGAGACCAUUGAUAUGUUCCAUGUAUCCUAAGUUUUAAACUGGUUGUGGUGGAAGGAUCUAACAGAAUGGCAACACUUAUUAACUUCGUUGCUUUACUUUUGAGCUUCAUUUUUGCAUAAUAAUUAUUUUCAAUCAUUUGUUUCAUCCUCACUGGGUUUAUUUAAAUGACAAAAGAAAAGAAAGAAAAAGGAAAAAGAAAGUAAAUUAUUGGUAAGUGAAAAAAGAAAAAAAUAAUGGUUAAGUUUUGGUUGGAUUUGUGUUUUACUUCUUUGCUGAAAUGUAAAAAUUGUUACAUUAUUGGAUGUCAUGAGAAGUAGAAGAGAGGAGAUAAAAAAAAAUGGGGGAUGCUUCUUUCUGUGAAAGAUUCUACACUUAAUUUUUUUUCAUUGCAUUUUGUGAUCAGAAAACCUUUCAUAUGUCCUUCCUCUUAUUAGUGAUAAUGAUUAGAUAAAUAAAACUGUCAUCUGUCAUAA